GACGAACGCUGGCGGCGUGCUUAACACAUGCAAGUCGAACGGAAAGGCCCUGCUUUUGUGGGGUGCUCGAGUGGCGAACGGGUGAGUAACACGUGAGUAACCUGCCCUUGACUUUGGGAUAACUUCAGGAAACUGGGGCUAAUACCGGAUAGGAGCUCCUGCUGCAUGGUGGGGGUUGGAAAGUUUCGGCGGUUGGGGAUGGACUCGCGGCUUAUCAGCUUGUUGGUGGGGUAGUGGCUUACCAAGGCUUUGACGGGUAGCCGGCCUGAGAGGGUGACCGGCCACCUUGGUACUGCGAUACGGCCCAGUCUCCUACGGGAGGCAGCGGUGGGGAAUAUUGCACAAUGGGCGGAAGCCUGAUGCAGCAACGCCGCGUUCGGGAUGACGGCCUUCGGGUUGUAAACCGCUUUCGCCUGUGACGAAGCGUGAGUGACGGUAAUGGAUAAAGAAGCACCGGCUAACUACGUG
rnacentral:rRNA from 1 species